rnacentral:rRNA from 1 species
GACAUUGGAUCGUUAGUACGGCGAGUGAGCGGUAAAAGCUCAAAUUUGAAAUCUGGUACUUUCAGUGCCCGAGUUGUAAUUUGUAGAAUUUGUCUUUGAUUAGGUCCUUGUCUAUGUUCCUUGGAACAGGACGUCAUAGAGGGUGAGAAUCCCGUUUGGCGAGGAUACCUUUUCUCUGUAAGACUUUUUCGAAGAGUCGAGUUGUUUGGGAAUGCAGCUCAAAGUGGGUGGUAAAUUCCAUCUAAAGCUAAAUAUUGGCGAGAGACCGAUAGCGAACAAGUACAGUGAUGGAAAGAUGAAAAGAACUUUGAAAAGAGAGUGAAAAAGUACGUGAAAUUGUUGAAAGGGAAGGGCAUUUGAUCAGACAUGGUGUUUUUUGCAUGCACUCGCCUCUCGUGGGCUUGGGCCUCUCAAAAAUUUCACUGGGCCAACAUCAAUUCUGGCAGCAGGAUAAAUCAUUAAGAAUGUAGCUACUUCGGUAGUGUUAUAGCUUUUUGGAAUACUGUUAGCCGGGAUUGAGGACUGCGCUUCGGCAAGGAUGUUGGCAUAAUGGUUAAAUGCCGCCCGUCUUACACCCACGGACCAAAAA